GAGGUUGUGGCUCAGUGGUAGAGCAUCUAGCAUGUGUGAGGCCCUGGGUUCGAUCCUCAGCACCACA
rnacentral:tRNA from 1 species